GACGAACGCUGGCGGCGUGCUUAACACAUGCAAGUCGAACGGAAAGGCCCUGCUUUUGUGGGGUGCUCGAGUGGCGAACGGGUGAGUAACACGUGAGUAACCUGCCCUUGACUUUGGGAUAACUUCAGGAAACUGGGGCUAAUACCGGAUAGGAGCUCCUGCUGCAUGGUGGGGGUUGGAAAGUUUCGGCGGUUGGGGAUGGACUCGCGGCUUAUCAGCUUGUUGGUGGGGUAGUGGCUUACCAAGGCUUUGACGGGUAGCUGGCCUGAGAGGGUGACCGGCCACAUUGGGACUGAGAUACGGCCCAGACUCCUACGGGAGGCAGCAGUGGGGAAUAUUGCACAGUGGGCGGGAGCCUGAUGCAGAAACGCCGCGUGCGGGAUGACGGCCUUCGGGUUAUAAACCGCUUUCGCCUGUGACGAAGCGUGAGUGACGGUAAUGGGUAAAGAAGCACCGGCUAACUACGUG
rnacentral:rRNA from 1 species